GGGAGUGGCUUGACUUUGCUUCACUUUAUCUUGAGCCUCCACUGGGAGUGGCUCAAAGAUUGGUGCUGGAAUCUAGAGACUGCUUCACUGGCCUGGCUGACAUCUGUGUCCAGAUGUGGGCCUGAACUGUUGACCAAAAUCCAGUUGCUGUAUGAUUCCUCUGUGGCUUGGGCUUCUCAUCUCACAGUGUGGCAUCCGGGUUCUGAGUAUGGACAGCCUGUCCUAGAAGUCACACGGCAUUGUAUCUGCCAGGAUCUGUCCAUUGAAGCAGUCACUAGUCCAUCUGCAUUUAAGCAAAGUGGACGUAGACCCCAUCCCUUAAGGAAAGAUAGUUAACAGGAGCCAGUGUAAGAAAAACCUCUUCCAUGUGGAAUGAAUGCCUGUGUCAGUGAAUAAACAAGAGAGUGAAUGAGCAGGUGAAGGAAGCCCCCCUUCUUCAUGCCUGUAUCCCAGGGUCCAGCAAACUCAGCAUAUGCUGCUGAAUGACGGAGUGAGUGGAGACCCUCUGAGGACAGCAAGGCCUGACAACAUGCACAGCCUGGUGUCAUCCCACCUCCACCCUAGAAGUCACGUGUCCAGGACCAAGGGCAUCUGGGCUGUAUAUUUUGUUGAGUGACUUCAGGAGAACCAGACUCAACCACCAGGCUACUGGCAGCAUCCACCCUGGGGAAGGAUCCAGGGGCUGACACCAUCAGUGAUUUGUUGGCUGCUGCCAGUGAAGGAAAUACUUCUCUCACUGACACCAACCCUGUGCCCGGCUGGGAGAAUGUUCAUCUGUUCUGCGUGGAACCAAGACAAGUGGCAACUUCAGGCUUCUUACAUCAUUUCUAGGGUCACCUCUGGUGAAAUUGCUGGGAUUGAGGACAGAGGCAGAGAUGGGCAGAAAUUAUGAGAAGAAUUUAUCCAAGCCUCCAUGAAGUGAGUAGUGUUAUUUCCACCAUGCCCAUCUGUUGUGAUGUCUCUGUGUCUGGAGAUAACUGAUUAUGGACUGAACCCUGAGAAACCGUGAGCCAAAUGAAGACAGAAUUUGUAGAGAACAUGAUUGAUGGAUUGGCAUGUUGAGCAAUUCUUCAGCACCUAAGUGUGGGCAGGAAAUCAGGCUGUGGUUCACACCAUUUUGAAGCUUGGUGCGGUCCCACCCGCCUUCAGGAAGCAUCUUUGAAUGCAGAAAAUGUCAUUCAUUCAUUCAUUCAUUCAUUCAUCUCUCAAGACCCUCAAGACCCUCGGCUUUUGCACCAAGAAAGCUAAACAUUCCUAACAUUCCUGGUUUGAGCCUUUUGAGUGGCAGCCUUCGAGAUGGGAGAGGUCCCUGUGGAAUGUGGGGUGCUUCCUUCAAGAAUUUACUAUUCUUCUUUAGGAGGAAGGAAAACUGGGAAAGGUAGAGAGGAGAACCUCAAAAGGUGGCAAGAAAAUGGCAAGUUUAAGUGGAGAGAGGACCGACCAGAAUCCAGAUGGCCUUUUCCAGCAGCGGGGCUCAGGUUUCUCCCAGUGAGGACUCCAUGAGGUCCCAGACUGUGUCAGGAAGCUCGCCAGCCCCAUCCCCGCAUUGCCCAGUGGAGCUCCUCCUGCAGAACAAGGAAGAGAGCACGAAAGAAGAAUCCAGGACACUGCUCUGUUCGGCAGUGCGCUUUUCCCUCCGCAUCCCACACAGCCCACUUGACCCAGGCCGUGCAGGCUUCAGGGCCACAAGUUGAUGGGGAAAGUAGAUGCUAGGCUGAGGCGACGGUCUCGGCGGAGGGAACACAGCAACCCUGACGAGGAGCAGCUCGAGGCGGCCACGGAAACUUACGGCCACUUCGCUGAUCGACAGCCCGGUUCUGGAACCCGGGAAGCCCUUUGAAUUUUGGAGCGGAGGUGAGACCGGAAGGGCUCAGGGGUUUCAUGCUAGGGGAGGCGGAAGCCGGGCGUCAGGUUAGGACUAGAAAGCAACCCUACCGUCCAGAACGCGCCUCUGGAAUAAACCCCAACCCGGGAGAGAUCGCACCAACUCAAGAUAAAAAGUCUUCCUGAAAACUGAGCGCCUCUUACCGCAGUUCCUGUUUCCUGCGAGUCCUGCGCGGUCGCGGUUUAGACCCUACUCCAGCUGAAAGAACCAGUUCAUCUGGAUUCAGCUGUGGACCCCAGCUCCCUGGGAGGAGACCGUUCCAGUAGCCCGCGGGGUGGCGGGGAGCGCGGCUCUGCAGCCCAUGGAGAACAGCACCGGCCCCCUGAGCGCGUGAACCUGUCCGGCCUGGGCACCAUGCCCCGGGCUCCGCUGGCUGUGCAGGCGGUGACUCUGACCCUGGUGCCCCUCUUGUGUGCCGUGGGUGUGGCGGGCAACGCCAUGGUGGUGCUGGUGGUGGUCAGGGGCCGCCACAUGGUCACACCCACCAACUGUUACCUGGGUGAGAUUGGAGUACGAUUUUUAAUAAGAUCUUUAAUUUGCAGAGAUGGAAUAAGGUGGGAGGAGGUGUCAGGGAUCUGGAGAUCUUUUUUCCUGGGAACCCAGCAAGCUUUUGCUUGCCAGGAUAAACUAAACAUUACCUCCCCCUGCAGGGUGCUGCAUGCUGCCUCCGUCUAACAGCUGGUUCAGGAUCCAGUGCUGGCAACAGAUGCUGCUCCAGCAGCCACCGUGGAGGUGCAAAGGGAGGCAAGACUUUCUGGGUUCCUGUCCUUGCUCAGGGCAGAGGGGACAGAGCCAGGAACUUGGCUGGAUUGGAGAACACAUCUUUCAAAAGUGGCAUCUUCAACCCUCUUGACUGCAGACGUGACUGCUAGACUAUGAUGAAAGCCAUGGGAACUCAUCAGGCUGGGCAAGGCUUUGGAACAUGAACAAAGGACUCCCAAACAUUAGUGGAUCGACACACAAAGCUUACUGCUCACUCAAAGUCUUUCCAGGGUGUCUCUCUUCCGUUCCGUGACCCACGACCCAGGCCAUUUCAGUCUCAGGGGCCCAGCUUCUCAAUGUGUUUCCAUGAACCAUGCAGUGGAGGAAGGGUCUGAAACAGUCCUCAAAUUGGCAGGCGAAUGCUUCAGCCAGUAAGUGACAGCUGUCACUUCAACUGGUGACCAGUAACAUGGCUGGAAAAGCAGCAGAGCACCCUGCAAUUUCCAAAAGGCAGUAAAGAUUGAUCUGGCCAAGCACUCAAACUCUCUCAUGGGAGAGUGACAGACCAGAGAACAAAGGUAGAAAAUGAGACCUUCUAUCUGUCUGUUUGCGCCUUCCAAACAGCGGGACAGCAGGUCCUGCCUCCUAAAGCCCACCUACCUGAUGUUAGCAUCUGCAGCAAUCCUAGGCAAACCACCAAAGCCGGAAGUCUGUCCUCUCCUUGAAGCUGUGAGGCACCUCAGAAGCCCUUCACAUUUCGAAGGACGCAGGAUCCCCAGGACCAUGGCGCUGUCCAGCUGAACUGAGUGCUGAAUCAUGGCCUGGGAGUGAGGUGGUGAGGGCAGAGGCUCAGAGCAUUUGCUCGGCAGACUGUGUCAGCUCCCGCCUUUCCCUGUCCCUGGGGGUCCCAGACAUGUCAGACCUGAUGCCUGCAGAGAGUCAAACCUAAAAGAGUCAGGACCAACUGAUAGCACAGAGAGCACGAGGUCACACCAGUCACAUGACGCCCAGCUCUGCCAGUGGCUCCCUGUGUGGUGUAGGACAUGUUGGCUGUGUUCUCUUGGCCUCAGUUUCCUCAUCUAGAAAGUGAGAGGUAGCAGAGAUUUUUCUAGCCAUGACUUUCCCUCAGACUUUUCUUUCUGGUGAAGUGGCCACUUCGCCAGGAAACUUAAAAACUCCCAAAGCUUACCAUACCAGUUAACCCUAUGUGGCCUUAUCUUGUUGAAAGGGUCUCCAGACAGAAUUUCCUGGGGAUGUUACUAAGGUGUCAUCUUCACUUCUGCCUACUGCCAGCUCUAUCUUCCCCUGGGCUCUGACUCUGUCGUGUUGUCAUGGUGAUGGGCGGGAGCACCAGCCUUUUCCAAGACCCUCUUUCUGGCACUGAGAGGAACAGUGCAGCCAGAGGUCCUACCUGGGGAGGGGCCUGCUUUCCUUGGACUCUUUACAGUCCAAACAACAUCAGGGAGCCAGGCAUGGUGGCACAUGCCUGUAAUCCCAGCACUUGGGGGGA